rnacentral:lncRNA from 1 species
ACCACUCCAUCCAUGUUUGGAUAUUCCGGAUUAGUUUACCUUCUCCUUAUUGGGGAGCACACUCCAUGUCUAUAGGGCAGAGGGCAUCUUCUGUUUGUCACAUGGGUGGUCGAGGAAUUAUUUUACCCUCUCAUGCUGGAGAGCUUACCUAGAUGCGUGUCGGGGGAUUAGUUUACCCUCUCGCGCUGAAGAGCUAAACUUGAUGGGUGUCGGGCUGAAGAGUUUACCCAGAUAGGUGUCGGGGGAUUAGUUUACCCUCUCGCACUGGAGAGCUAACCCUGAUGGGUGUCAGGCAAUUAGUUACCCUUUUACGCUGGAGAGCUUACCCAGUUGGGUGUUGGGGGAUUAGUUUACCUUCUCGCUCUUGAAAGCUUACCCAGAUGGGUGUCGAGUGAUUAGUUUACCCUUUUGUGUUGGAGAGUUUACCCAUAUGGGUUUCAAGGAAUUAGUUUACUUUCUCGCUCGGGAAAGCUUACUUAAAUGGGGCUUUGAGCAGUUGUUGUAAGUAGCAGUUAAGCCAGGUUUGUGAAUAACUUCUUGAAUCUUUAUUAAGAAUAAAGAAACGCAUUAACUAUGCUAAAAGGUAGAAACUGCAUAACAACUGGGAUAAUCCACGGCAUUUGAGGUCUUGUUCGCCGAACUGCUUGAAACUUCGAACUUAUUUGGAUAGGCCUAAACAGAGUUCAAGAGAUGAUGAGAGAUUUCCCCAAGCAUUCCUUCACAUUGCUAAAUGUGGACUAAAAGUGUUUUGACUUGGCAAAUAUGCCAUUAAUCUGCAUCAUCUUCAAUAGGGGUUCAGUGUCAACUUUUGUUGCUUGCAUAGGCCGUGCAGUUGGCUUAUCGAGGUACUCAUCGCACCAGUUUUCCUUCGUCAACUCCUCGAGGUACUGUUUCCAAUUUAGGCAGCCGUUGGUAGUGUGACCCAACCCUGUCUAAUACAGCUUGGUAAGAUCACCCUUCAUGGUUGGUGGCAAUUCGAACCAUGGUUCAUUCUUAAGCUUACGAAGAAUCUGGCCAAUUAGAACUGUGAACUUGGUGAACGCCUUAUGUAUUGCAUCAUCCCUGUUUGGGGAACAGUCCAUGUGCUUAUUUUUUUGCUUGUUCCCGUCGGACUGCUUCGCCUCAUCCCACAGUGCGUGCUUAUCUGCCAAAGCAUAUGAAGUUACCAGGAUCAGCUCCCUGCCCAUGAUCAAUUGUUCGAAAAAAAAUGGUGAUCUGCUGGGAACCCUUUUCAGAAAGUUGAACAUGCGAUGCUGUCAUCGCAUCUGACGAUGUGCGAAGUGAUUCAUUCAGUUCCUUUUUCAUGUUGAAGAUGUGGGCAGACUUCUUUUUAAUCGAGCGGUAGGACGAAUAUUCCUUGAUGAAACCAAGGAAAGUUCAUUGAUGUUCUAGAUUGAGUGCGGCGGCAGGGUGUGGAACCACUCUUGUGCCUCGCCUUAGAGCAUCGCGGUAAAGAUUUUGCACAUGAGAGCAUCGUUAUUGGCGUAGAGGGUCAUGGUGCUUCAGUAGUGCAUUAGGUGCUUGUCCGGGUCUUCAUCUCCUUUGAACAAAGUGAAAUGUGGAGGGCUGAAUUUCCGCAGUGGCUCCAUCUACUCGAUCUCGUCUUUAAAAGAUGACCUGCUCAGGUUGGCUAUGUCUCUACGAAAGGCAUCAUCGAUAGUGUCAAUACGCUGGAAUCCGCACAACUACUUUGCUACGAGCCUUUGUACUUCUUCUUAGAUUUGUGCCUGGUAAGGCAGCAGAGCUUUCAGCUGGCCCUGAUGUUGACUUGCUGAUCCACAUUGCUUUUU